rnacentral:rRNA from 1 species
GUCGAACGGGAUUUAGCGGUAGCUUGCUACUGCGAAGAUCUAGUGGCGGACGGGUGAGUAACACGUGAGCAAUCUGCCUUAAAGAGGGGGAUAACGUCUGGAAACGGACGCUAAUACCGCAUGACGUAUCGAGUGGGCACCCACAUGAUACCAAAGGAGUAAUCCGCUUUAAGAUGAGCUCGCGUCUGAUUAGCUGGUUGGCGGGGUAACGGCCCACCAAGGCGACGAUCAGUAGCCGGACUGAGAGGUUGAACGGCCACAUUGGGACUGAGACACGGCCCAGACUCCUACGGGAGGCAGCAGUGGGGAAUAUUGCGCAAUGGGGGAAACCCUGACGCAGCAACGCCGCGUGAAGGAUGAAGGUUUUCGGAUUGUAAACUUCUUUGACGAGGGACGAAAGAAAUGACGGUACCUCGAAAACAAGCCACGGCUAACUACGUGCCAGCAGCCGCGGUAAUACGUAGGUGGCGAGCGUUGUCCGGAUUUACUGGGUGUAAAGGGCGAGUAGGCGGGAUUUCAAGUCUGAUGUGAAAACUAUCGGCUUAACUGGUAGACUGCAUUGGAAACUGAGAUUCUUGAGUGAUGGAGAGGCAGGCGGAAUUCCUAGUGUAGCGGUGAAAUGCGUAGAUAUUAGGAGGAACACCAGUGG